rnacentral:rRNA from 1 species
CGUGUAGGCGGUAUACUAAGUCAGAUGUGAAAUCUCCCGGCUCAACCGGGAGCGUGCAUCUGAAACUGGUAAACUUGAGUGAUAGAGGGGAAAGUGGAAUUCCUAGUGUAGUGGUAAAAUACGUAGAUAUUAGGAGGAACACCAGUGGCGAAGGCGACUUUCUGGCUAUUAACUGACGCUGAGGCGCGAAAGCGUGGGGAGCAAACAGGAUUAGAUACCCCCGUA